GAGCCUGAGAAACGGCUACCACAUCCAAGGAUGGCAGCAGGCGCGCAAAUUACCCAAUCCCGACACGGGGAGGUAGUGACAAUAAAUAACAAUACGGGGUUCUUUAGGAUCUCGUAAUUGGAAUGAGUACAAUUUAAAUCUCUUAACGAGGAACAAUUGGAGGGCAAGUCUGGUGCCAGCAGCCGCGGUAAUUCCAGCUCCAAUAGCGUAUAUUAAAGUUGUUGCAGUUAAAAAGCUCGUAGUUGAAUUUCGGGGUUAGUAGGUUGGUCAUGCCUCUGGUAUGUACUGGUCUCACUGAUUCCUCCUUCCUUAUGAACCGUAAUGCCAUUAAUUUGGUGUUGCGGGGAAUUUGGACUGUUACUUUGAAAAAAUUAGAGUGUUUAAAGCAAGCUAACGCUUGAAUACAUUAGCAUGGAAUAAUGAAAUAGGACGUUCGAUCCUAUUUUGUUGGUUUCUAGGAUUGACGUAAUGAUUAAUAGGGAUAGUUGGGGGCAUUAGUAUUCAAUUGUCAGAGGUGAAAUUCUUGGAUUUAUUGAAGACUAACUACUGCGAAAGCAUUUGCCAAGGAUGUUUUCAUUAAUCAAGAACGAAAGUUAGGGGAUCGAAGACGAUCAGAUACCGUCAUAGUCUUAACCAUAAACUAUGCCGACUAGGGAUCGGAUGAUGUUAAUUUUUUAAUGACUCAUUCGGCGCCUUACGGGAA
rnacentral:rRNA from 1 species